rnacentral:tRNA from 1 species
GGGGAUUUAGCUCAGUGGUAGGGUGCUUGCCUAGCAAGCACAAGGCCCUGGGUUCGGUCCCCAGCUCCG